rnacentral:lncRNA from 1 species
AGUGCGGGCCGUGAGGGGUGUGCGCGCUUGAGCCGGAGCGGGGCUCGCCCCUCGUCGGCUCCCGCCGCCCAGCCGGUGAUCGCUCUCCGGCCGUCCCCGGCACCCUCGGCCCCCCACGGCGGUUGGUCCGGGCGGGGGAAGGAGAAAGUGAGACUCGGUGUCAUCACCAAUCCAUCGCCAGAAGGGGAGGAAACUGGAAUCCAGCAGCGGCGAGCAGCAGCUGGACGGUAACAUCUGGAAAUGGAAAGCCGACCUCCCCCUCCUCCUCCACCUCCUCCUCCUCCUCCUCCUCCUCCUCCUCCUCCUCUCACCCAGGAUCACUUCCAAAACCACUUGGCCUUCAGCCCCUGCCUCGGCCAGAGGUUUCAUUUUUAACUGAAUAUUUACGAAAGCUGAAAGCGUGCGAGGGGGGUGGGGUGGAAAUAGCGGCUGCUUCUUUUCCAAGGAUUUAUUUAAUGGGGAUGUGUUCAAGGCAAGACCGAAUUCAGAAGGAUAUCGACGUCGUGAUCCAGAAGUCCAGAGCUGAGGACUGCCUGUUUGCAGGGCCCGCCUGGCAGGACGACUGAGCAAGUCCUUGGAAAACCAGAGAUAUUAGAGCGGUGAAUCGCGCUGGUCACGUUGGACACCUGCGCGUUAGGAGAUUCUGGAGCCAGAGGGAGAGACCCCAGAAACUCCCCGGUCGGCGACCCAGCCCGAGACGCCUGGGGUCCCAAGGGAAGCUGAACGCCCGGUGGGCUCCCGGGAUGGUUCUUCCGGUUCUUUGUGCCGCCUUCACCCAGUGAAGGAGCCUGUAUCCACCCUGCCCAGUCGCUGUUGGGCUGCUGCGGAGCUUCCGCUGCCAUCUUCGGAUCCUGUGUUCCGCCCGGGGCUCCACCAGGGCAGGGAUGGUGGUGAGGGUCGCUCGUGGGUCCCCUGGCAGGGAGCAGGGUCUGGCACUCACAAGGGCGCACGACUAGGACUUGUCGAAUGAAUCCUUUGUCGCCUUUAGCUUUUAGUCCUUUGAAGAGAGGUGAGAGUGGAAAUCAAGAGAUUUUUUUCCACGGGGAAGUUCUUUUUACAAAGCGUUGAUUUCUCGGCACCCCGCGGGGCGGGCAACUGACACGGCCUCCGGUGCACCUUCUGCGCUGUGGAGCCUCUGGGGCUCAGCUGGGCGGUGGUCGGGUCGUGGGGCGGUAGGGCGGGAGCGGGGGAAGGGAAAAGCAAAAGCUGGAAAAGAAGCAGGGGAGUUAUGAACCAGACAUCCAGACCUCCUGAAGGGCUCGUGCAGACGUACAGGCGGGAUCUUCUGGAAGUGAGAAUUGUUUUUGUUUGUUUAUCUAUUGUAGCAGAAUGGGGAAAUGGAGAGAGAACCUGAAAGAGCCCCAAACUCGAGGACCUAUUGCUCCCCAAGAAUAACAUCUUCCAGAACUAGACAGAAAACUAGGCGUCUGGGAACCCUGAAAUCCUUGGAGGAGUAGAUCAUCAUGACCCUCUGUGUUCCUUUUGGCAAAUGACUUGCUUCCAUUGUUUGUUUGUUCAAUUGUCUGUUUGUUAAAUAAAUAAAACCCUUUUCAUGUAUCUUUAAAAUUACAUUGGUUCUAUUAUUUUAUGAUUACAAACGAUGCUGCAGUCAU